AUGUGGGAGGAGCGGAGGGGAUGUGGGAGGAGCGGAGGGGAUGUGGGAGGAGCGGAGGGGAUGUGGGAGGAGCGGAGGGGAUGUUGGAAGAGCGGUCUGUUACAGUGCCUGGUUGUCGAGGAGGCUGUGCUGCAGGAACCAAAGGCAUCAAUAACACUUGAAAGAAGAGACUGGACGACGAUGUUCAAGAAAAGCAGAAGCAAAGUGCUGGUGGAUGACGCGUCAGAAGAGGAUGACAUGUCGUGGCACUACGACCACUGCUAUAAGGACAAAGACAUAGAAGAAGUGGGCGAGGAGGAAGAGGAACAAGAGGAAGCUGCGAGUACCGGAUCUCAGAAACACACACAAAUACUCUCCAACUAGACGACCCCCAGUGUCUGAUAACGCACACAAGGAAUACUAUCAAAGCCAUGAUGUCUGCUAAAGCCAGCAUGAAGUGCAUCAGUGGUGCCUGCAGUGUUUAUCUGUAAUCAGUCGUCUGUCAUUCACCACUGCCCUCGUCUACUACCCCUGUUCAGCCAUCACCAUGCAGGUUCUACCCUGCCCUCGCAAACACCUAUCUUGUUUGUUGUGGUUACUCUAGAUUGGGUGUGCGUCUGUGUCUGUGUCUGUGUCUCCGUGUGCUGUGUCUGUAAAAGAGCAGACAAUUUGGAUUCAAAGUGCUAAUCACAUAGCUACCAUGGCUGGUCAUGAAUACAAACUUACCCUCUUUGGUUCAAAUUUUGUGUUAUGGUACACGCUUUGCGUCCGUGUAAAUGUUUGGCUUUAAAUAACAGAUAUGCACUGUAUUCUCUUCCUGCCAUGGCUGACCAUUGUACAGGGCUGGGUGAUGGUGCGGUUACAGGAAGGGGGGACUAUUUCAUAACCCGUCCUUUUUGUAUGUAAGGAUAAGAGCGGCUGGGCUGGAACUGGGAAGGAAGCUCAACAUUCUUUAGAGGAGUUGGGAGAGAACAAUCUCUGUGAAAGGAAAACAAGGUUGAAAAUAGCCACAGCGUAUGGAGGCCCAUCGCUCACUCUCUGGUUGUAUGGUGGACUCCAAAUGAAUGGGACCUGGCCUGGCCUGGGGAGCUGACCUUAGCCAAGUGGCUUUUAUUAAUAAUGAUAAUAUUUGAAUUAUUCAAAAAAUCUAUAUUUGUUAAAACUUGAAUCAGUGAAACAAAUGAUAAAGAAGAGAAAAAACUAGUAAGACAGGGAAAGGGGUUUGGUGAGGAGAACAAGACAUGGACCUCAUGGUUAACAUGGCAGGGAAAGCUGUGGACAAGCCCAAAAAUACAAUACUAACAAGUUGAGAACCAACGAGCAAACAAACCCAAAAGGUUUGAAGGGUUCACCAUUGUGAAAGGCAUUGAACCUCUCUGUCCGCCUGGGGGUAUAUAGGGGGGACACCCACCAAUUGUCUAGCUUCUUCUUCUGGGGUGUGGGUGGGUAGGUCAUAGAGCUCCCCCUGUUCAAACCAGAAGCCUUUUUCAUAACCUUAUUUGUGUGUGUGUGUGUGUGUGUGUGUGUGUGUGUGUGUGUGUGUGUGUGUGUGUGUGUGUGUGUGUGUGUGUGUGUGUGUGUGUGUGUGUGUGUGUGUGUGUGUGUGUGUGUGUGCGCGCGUGCGUGCGCAUGUGCGUGUAUAUGUGUUUGCGUGCAGAGGAUGUGUGGACCUCCAUCUCGGCACCGGCUCGGAAUGGAUAGUUUAGUUCCAAGGUGUGGUGCAUUGAAAUUUAGAUAUGUCAUUCAGACUUGAAUUCACCCUUCUAUUAUAUGACUUGCAUUGCCGUAACAUGAGGAAAGUAACUUUAUGAAUACAUUUAUAGAGGAAGGAAAUCUCUUAUACCCAAGUCCAGGCCUGCAUUAACCUGCCAUUGGGCCCUGGGGCUUAGAGGUUUCGUAGGCCCCCUGAGAGGGGAUCCUACAAUGAAGAUAUGUAAAUUAUUUUACACAUCUGGGGGGCGGGCAUCCACCAGCUAUCACUAGGGGGUGCCCACGGCACUCCCUAGUGGCCCCAUUUUUUCUCGGCUCAUAAUAAGCCUCUGAUCUUUGUAUGCCCCAAACAAAAAAUCACAUUGUCUUCGGGCUACGCCGAUCGGGGGGCCUAUUAUGAGCCAGUAUAAAAAAAAGAAUAAUAAUAAUAAAAAAAAAGCCUGUGCAUUAAGGCGGGCCAAGCCCCGUCCACACGGAAACAAUUUUUUGGUGAAAACACAUAUUUGUUUUGCGUUUGGGCCUGCCGACCAGGGGCGCCGCUAGGGAUUUUGGGCUGUAUUAUAAUUUCAUCAUCAUUAGGGGCCUCUCUGGGCCCCCCUCCAUCAUGGGCCCCUAGAAUCCGUCUCCUUUACCCCCCCUUUUCGGCGCCCCUGCUGCCGACCAGAAGGAUCCGUCGUUUUUGGUGGCCGAAAACAAUGUAUUUUGAAACCAGGUCCCAGGUAGCCUGGCACCGCCCUCCUACCUACUUCUGCUCAAUUUUCAUUUCACUUCAGUACUAGGUCUGGGUCUGCUUCAUAUGCAUGGGUUCCUUAGAAGCCAAGUUUUUGGCGGUCCAAUCAGCGAACAGAGGGAGUGGCUGAGAACGAUGACGUCGAGGUUGCGCGCCAGUUUCAGUUGUAGUCAGAGGAAGACCAGGAAGACAAUGGAGAAGGAUACGAGAGAAGCUAUUCGGUCUGUUGUGGGAUCGCUGCCGAAUAUCGAUCAAUUAAAGCCGGAGCAAGAACAAGCUUUGCUGAGUUUUGUUGGUGGCCAAGAUGUUGUGGCGCUUCUCCCCACCGGGUUCGGGAAAAGUUUGACUUUCAAGCUGGCUCCGUUAGUGGUGAAGGAGCCGGUCCCAUCGCAUGACAUACGUCACGACCAAACGCUAUGCGAUUGAUUAUGGCAGAUCCAGAGUAGCACUGGGCAGAUCCAAUCAUUUUAAAACUUCAACAGACACCCGCCUCCAAGUGAGUGAACGUUUGUCAAUUGGGCAGUUCCAGACCUUCUGUACAAAUUAAAUGAAGUACGAUGGUCUGGUAGGACCAGGCUAGGUCCCAGGGUGGAUAAGAUAAAAAUGGCCCAAUCCGUUUUGGUGUUCGGAUUCGUGUGGACGCCAGAUAUGCAAACGAUGACGUCAUAGCCCCCCCACACACACACACACCAGGAGGGGAAAGUUAGGGUUCCGUCAAAUUUGUUUUGUUUGAUUUGAUUUGUAUUAUUUUUGUAGCUUUAAAUACAGGCCCUUGGUAAAUGUAAUUACUAGCUCUACAUUCAGAAGUAUUUUCUGCUCAAUCUAAAAGGUUUAAAAACUGCUUUCUUCGCCUGUCUUCUUCUUUAAUUGGUGGAGAACCAGCACCACACAGUGGCCUUGAAUAUGUACUACAGCGUUUCUAAAGAUAGAUGUGUUUUGUCAUGAGUCAGUCUUUAAGGAGAUAUUCCUGAAACGCAUUAAAGGAAAAUGGAGGGGAAAAGAUUGUUUUCUCCCGUGUGGACGGGGCCUCAGUAUUAUAGGGGAAAUAUGUUUCAUGUUGCAACACCAGCAAUAUUUAUAUACUAACAAAUUGUGACACACACACACACACACACACACACACACACACACACACACACACACACACACACACACACUACACCGGUAGCAUCUCUGUUCUGCAAAGCCCUAACUAUGACUAAUUGAACUCGGAUAAUUUCAUACACACUCACAUACACAAUGAAGAUAUUGUGUUUGUGCUUUGUUUUUUAUCUGUGUCUGUCACCUCGCUGUGCCGGACAUUUCUAGUGAAGGAGUUUGCGGGUUGGAGACGAACUCUGUGAACCUAGAAGGUUCUCAUUGUGUUCCUUCCUUUUUGAUGGAAGGAAAGCCUUUGUUCACCAACAUGUGUUCUCUCUUUUAUUGGUUGUUGCUGCUUGACACCUCCUCUGAUGGUUUUAGAGGAUCAUCUGACACAUAAGGUUAGCAUUGUGUGCGUGCGUGCGUGCGUGCGUGCGUGCGUGCGUGCUAGCGUGCGUGUGUGCGUGCGUGCGUGCGUGCGUGCGUGUGUGUGUGUGAAAGAGAGAAAGAGAGAAAGCACGGGGGAUCAGUAACAACUGUUGGGAGGAUUGGAGAGCUUCAGCCCCCUUGAAAAAACCUGCAAUGAACCAGCAGUAAACAAACGUUGUGGUAAUCUGGAGGAUACACACACAGGGAUGGGAGGAGGGGGGAGGGGGAUGGACCUCUGUGACCUUUAAGCUUGACCUUGGCUACGGGCCCGAGGCACGGAGCGAACCCAAACAGCCAAACAGUUGGUUUCAUAAUCCCUCAGGAGGAGGGAAGAAUUCUGGCAUGACAGGAGAAUUUAGUGAAAGUGGAAGGGAAUUACUCUGGAAUGUACCUCACCGCCAAGCGGAGACAGAGGCGUACCGGCAGUCUCUGCCUUUUCAACGUCCCACUCGCCUCGCACUGCGCCCUAUCUCUAUGGACUCCCCAGCUCCCCUUCAAUACCAGGAGACUGUGGAGAGCAACAAGAAACCACUUCGGAAUGAAGGACGUGCUUCAGGGGGAAGGAGAGGAUGAAAUGUGCCCGUGUGAACGCAAUGAGUGGACUUGGCAACUAUUUUAGAUAGGGCAUUGAACAAACAGUACCCUGUUUUUAAUCAACAGAGUGGGUAUAUUUGGUCUUGCUCAACACGCCAAACAUAGAUUAGGGAUUUUUGAAUUCUGUUGCUUCAUCUGAACUCCUCACUCUUCCAGGUUCCUAUGCUUAUGGGUCUGCCAAGCAU
rnacentral:lncRNA from 1 species